rnacentral:rRNA from 1 species
GACGAACGCUGGCGGCGUGCCUAAUACAUGCAAGUAGAACGCUGAAGAGAGGAGCUUACUCUUCUUGGAUGAGUUGCGAACGGGUGAGUAGCGCGUAGGUAACCUGCCUUGUAGCGGGGGAUAACUAUUGGAAACGAUAGCUAAUACCGCAUAACAAUGGAUGACACAUGUCAUUUAUUUGAAAGGGGCAAUUGCUCCACUACAAGAUGGACCUGCGUUGUAUUAGCUAGUAGGUGAGGUAAUGGCUCACCUAGGCGACGAUACAUAGCCGACCUGAGAGGGUGAUCGGCCACACUGGGACUGAGACACGGCCCAGACUCCUACGGGAGGCAGCAGUAGGGAAUCGUCGGCAAUGGGGGCAACCCUGACCGAGCAACGCCGCGUGAGUGAAGAAGGUUUUCGGAUCGUAAAGCUCUGUUGUAAGUCAAGAACGGGUGUGAGAGUGGAAAGUUCACACUGUGACGGUAGCUUACCAGAAAGGGACGGCUAACUACGUG